GCACAUAGAUCCUUGAAUGCACUACAUUUUCGUUCAAGGAGUUACAAAAGUUGGCCUAAGAAUAUUUGGGAGGGAAGAGAGUAAACUUCAAUUUAAGAAAAAAAUCUAAAGAAAUCUUUUCCUUGUUAUGUACUAUAUACUGAAUAGACUUCGAAUUUUCAUCUCAAUAUUUAUAGCCUCACUUGCAAUUUUUUGCUCAAAGUUGCUUCCAUGGUUUAUUUACGCAAACAGACAGAACAAUUAGACUGGUAAUUCAGUGGCAGAGCUGCUUAUGGAUUUAGCCUUGACUUCGCCUUCUCAGAAAGUGUGAAUCAUUCGUGACAAAGGAGCAUACUUCACACUAAUGGUGUCCAGAAACCAAGAGGACUGGGACCAGAAGUUACCUCUCUUCUUAAUGGCUUGUCGCAGAGCUGUCCACAAGACUACCAGCUAUUCAGCAGCCCACAUGCUCUUUGGUCGGGACCUUCGUCUACUGUACAAUCUCUUGUUUGGGAAACAAGAUGGUGGAUUCAACAGAGGUGGCAAAAUGUGGUUAUGGUACCCAGUUCGACGGAAAGGACUCUAUUCUAAACUGCGGAAACCCUGGAAUGGUCCCUACACAGUCCUAAACAGGCUGAAUGAUGUUGUAGUUCAGAUCCAUUAAUCAUCAAAUUCUAAACCUAAAAUUGUUCAUUGCAAUAGGCCCUUCUUAUGGCCAUAGUACAAUCUUCAUAGUAUAUAUAAUGUAAAUAGAAUAAAUACUAAGACUAUGGUCACUCUCUAAUGUGUGAAAUGUCAUCAACAAAGGCCAGCUAUAUUUGCAGCACCCAAAAGAGAUGCUAAGAAAUACUUUUGUUCAGCAUGUAAUGAGAAAACCCACACUUUAAUGCAUACGAUAAUUAAAAUUUGCUUUUUUGCUC